rnacentral:rRNA from 1 species
GGACGACAGCAAUAUGUAGGCCAGGCUGAAGACCUUGCCUGAAUCGCUGAGAGGGGGGUGCAUGGCCGUCGCCAGUUCGUACUGUGAAGCAUCCUGUUAAGUCAGGCAACGAGCGAGACCCGUGCCCACUGUUACCAGCAUAUCCUCCGGGAUGAUGGGUACUCUGUGGGGACCGCUGAUGUUAAAUCAGAGGAAGGUGCGGGCUACGGUAGGUCAGUAUGCCCCGAAUUUCCCGGGCUACACGCGGGCUACAAUGAAUGGGACAAUGGGCCCCUACCCUGAAAAGGUUUGGUAAUCUCACAAACCCAUCCGUAGUUCGGAUUGAGGGCUGUAACUCGCCCUCAUGAAGCUGGAAUCCGUAGUAAUCGCGUUUCAAUAUAGCGCGGUGAAUACGUCCCUGCUCCUUGCACACACCGCCCGUCAAACCACCCGAGUGAGGUAUGGGUAAGGGCACGAACUCUGUGUCGUGUUCGAACCUGUGCUUUGCAAGGGGGGCCAAGUCGUAACAAGGUAACCAAGGGCGAAUUCCAGC